rnacentral:rRNA from 1 species
GACGAACGCUGGCGGCGUGCUUAACACAUGCAAGUCGAACGGAAAGGCCCUGCUUUUGUGGCUUGCUCGAGUGGCGAACGUGUGAGUUACACGUGAGUAACCUGCCCUUGACUUUGUGAUAACUUCAGGAAACUGGUGCUACUACCUGCUAUGUGCUCCUGCUGCAUGGUGGGGUUUGGAAAGUUUCGUCGGUUGGGGAUGGACUCGCGGCUUAUCAGCUUGUUGGUGGGGUAGUGGCUUACCAAGGCUUUGAAGGAUAGCCGGCCUGAGAGGGUGACCGGCCACAUUGGGACUGAGAGACGGACCAGACUGGUACGGGAGGCAGCAGUGGGGAAUAUUGCACAAUGAGCGGAAGCCUGAGGCAGAAACGCCGCGUGCGGGAAGACGGCCUUCGGGUUGUAAACCGCGUUCGCCUGUGACGAAGCGUGAGUGACGGUAAUGGGUAAAGAAGCACCGGCUAACUACGUG